CAGGCGUUGGCCCACCGAGAGGCCCUGGCACAGCUCCAAAGGGAGAAGGAGACCCUGAGCCUGACCCUGGCAGAGGAGAAGGAGGUAGCCAGAUGCCAGCUGGAGCAGGAGAAGGAGCUGGUGACAAAAAGUGCAGCUGAGAGGGAGGCUCUGAAGGGGGAAAUUCAGAGCCUGAAGCAGGAGCGGGACGAGAGCCUUCUCCAACUGGAGCACAAGAUGCAACAGGUGAUGGUGAGGCUGGGGGGCAGCGGGAUUGCUCACACCCACUGCACCUGUCACCUCUGGCCCAGCACAAGGGCUGCAUGUGGCCACACCUUAGGCAGGUCCAACCGCCUACCCACCCAUCCAUCCAUCCAUCCAUCCAACCAUCCGUCCACUCACCCACCCACCUAUCUGUUCAUCCAGCCAUCUGUCCAUUCAUUCACCCAUCCAUCCACCCAUCCACUUGCCCAUCCAUCCAUCCUUCCACCCAGCUACCCAUCCAUCCAUCCAUCUCUCCAUCCAUCCCUCCAUCUGUCCAUUCAUACACCCACCUACCCAUCCAUCCACCCAUCCAACCACCCACCCAUUCACCCAUCCAUCUGUCCAUUCAUUCACCCAUCCAUCCAUUUAUCCAUCCAUCCAUCCAGCCAUCCAUCCACCCA
rnacentral:lncRNA from 10 species